GAGUUUGAUCCUGGCUCAGAAUCAACGCUGGCGGCGCGCUUAACACAUGCAAGUCGAACGAGAAAAGGGGCAACCCUGAGUAAAGUGGCGCACGGGUGAGUAACACGUGGGUAAUCUGCCCUCUGGUGGGGAAUAACUCUGGGAAACCGGAGCUAAUACCGCAUAAGAUCGUGAGAUGAAAGGUCAAAAGAUCGCCGGAGGAGGAGCCCGCGGCUGCUUAGCUUGUUGGUGAGGUAAAAGCUCACCAAGGCUGAGAUCGGUAGCCGGCCUGAGAGGGCACACGGCCACACUGGCACUGAAACACGGGCCAGACUCCUACGGGAGGCAGCAGUGGGGAAUCUUGCACAAUGGAGGAAACUCUGAUGCAGCGACGCCGCGUGAGUGAUGAAGCCCUUCGGGGUGUAAAGCUCUUUCGGCAGGGACGAUAAUGACGGUACCUGAAGAAGAA
rnacentral:rRNA from 1 species